rnacentral:sRNA from 1 species
ACAGUCCACGCAGUGGCAAAGGCUGGACAGUCAGGAGGAAAACCCCGUGGGCCCGGCUCAGUGCCGUCAGAGCUCACCGCCACCUCGGGUGGGAAGGCAUUCUGUGAGCCGUGUGCAGAUGGCAGCUGGGGCAGGCCUCCUGCAGACCCAGGUGACUGACAGGGCGGUGAGGGCGCAUGCCCAGGGAUCUUACCUUGGUCAUGUGUGGAGGGCCUGCUGCCAGUUUCCUUCUGUGGAUGAUCCUGGGACCGUCCUUGCUUGGACACUGUUGACCUGCUGGCUCCAGCGUGGGCCCGGCUGUGCAGGCACGAAGUGUCCAUCAGAGCGUGGCCACCGAUGGCCCAAGCAGGUGAAGCUGGCCUUCUGGGGGAGGUCGUACCCCCCCGCCCCACCCCCAUCCCUUCCUCAUUUUCUGCAUCAGUGCCGCAGCCACUGAGGUGCAUGGAUGGGGCAGGGAGGGGGUCACACAUCCCAGUCCCUGACCUCAUGUGGGUCCAGGCCUCUGGCAGCGGCCGUGGGGGCUCGCAUCCGCCUCUGGGAAGCACCUGCGUGGCU